UGGGUUGCUUUUUCUGGUUUUGCUGAAGAGUGGUUUUUCUCUCUGUGGUGCAGGGGCUUGGUGAGAGGGGUUAUUGGACACGAGGCCCACCUUAAACAUCUAUUAGCAGUGGGGCCCAGUGUAUUUCCCAGUCUUGAGGACCAUCCCUCUGCCAUUUGGACCAUGGCAUUAAAGCUCAGAUCUGCCAUGACAUUGAGAUGCAGCUGUGAGCUAUACUGCUACCUCAGAGGGAAGCCCCCAGGAGCACCAGCAGACCUCUUUGAUUUCUGCUCUGAUGCCAUGGAGUGCUGUUGGAGGAAAUCCAGGCACUAGGACCACCCUGACCAUUUCAGAAGGGAAAAGGAAUUCCAUCUUGCUUUCUCUCCUGCUCAGCAACCAUGGUUCACCUCCCUGAUGCAUUCCCAUUCCACUGCUAAUGCCUUGACCCUCUGGUGUAGAAUUAACUCUUGCUUUAAAUCCCCAGUCCUCCCUACUCUUUGUCACUGAAGCAACUGCCAGUACUUAAUGUAGUGGUCUGUACUGAGAAAGUACUGAACAAAGAUUCGGGUGACCCCCCUGAAGCCCCUGGACUUGCCCUGUGCCCAAAUUUCCUCACCUACUCUAUAUCAUCCUAAGUGUUCUUAUCUGUCACACCUGCCCGAGUUCCAAAUAUUUGAUUUCUGGCAGUGCACAGGUUAGGGUGGGA